rnacentral:rRNA from 1 species
ACUACUCGGCAACGGAUAUCUCGGCUCUCGCAUCGAUGAAGAACGUAGCGAAAUGCGAUACUUGGUGUGAAUUGCAGAAUCCCGUGAACCAUCGAGUCUUUGAACGCAAGUUGCGCCCGAGGCCUCCUGGUCGAGGGCACGUCUGCCUGGGUGUCA